UGUAACUUCAACUUUUUAAUCUUAUAAUGAGUAUGUCAUAAUUUAGACUUUUUAAAAACCUAAAAAAUUAACACAGAUGUUUACAUAACUAUCUCAGCCAGUGUUGCCAAGUUUAUGGUUUUCCCACGGAAUUAGGCUAAUUUAACACUGUUGCCGUGGGUUGUUUUUCAUGUCUGCGGGUUGAAGCGACUCCAAGUAACAUGAUAUUUAGCCCCUGAAAUGAGAAUUUUACCAGGGGAAACCCGCCAAAAACACGGAUUUUACCCCUCUGAAACGCAAUUGGGCUAGUUUUGAGUAGCAAUUGGGUGGGUUUUGUUGUGAAAACCUGGCAACCCUGAUCUUAGCUAUCAUUCCACACAUUGUUUUUGUUUCUGUCAGUGUAAAAAUGCAUUUUAUGAAGAUUAUUGGAGUAUGUUUUACAAAAAAACAGCAUUUCAGGGUUUCUACUUAAAAAAAAAAAAAAUUCACUUGCUACUUGUCGUUUCUUAUUUGUCUUGUAAUUAUUUGUGAAAGUUACUUGCCAUUUAUGAGUGAACAUUGUUUGGAAGUAAACCAUUUUAAACACUUGAUUUUUGUAUCGUUUUUACCUAAGGAAGAUUUAGCUCUCCUCUGGGAACAAAUUUGUCCCCAAAAUAUGGUUAAGUAGAUAAAAACACAAUCUCAAUCUCAAUGGAGCAUUUUGUUUAUGGGUGAACUUUGUUGUCCAAAUGGUGAAAAUGUAUAUAUAAACAAUAAACAGGAACAAUUACUACAA